AGUGAACGCUGGCGGUAGGCCUAACACAUGCAAGUCGAACGGCAGCACAGUAAGAGCUUGCUCUUACGGGUGGCGAGUGGCGGACGGGUGAGGAAUACAUCGGAAUCUACUUUUUCGUGGGGGAUAACGUAGGGAAACUUACGCUAAUACCGCAUACGACCUACGGGUGAAAGCAGGGGAUCUUCGGACCUUGCGCGAUUGAAUGAGCCGAUGUCGGAUUAGCUAGUUGGCGGGGUAAAGGCCCACCAAGGCGACGAUCCGUAGUUGGUCUGAGAGGAUGAUCAGCCACACUGGAACUGAGACACGGUCCAGACUCCUACGGGAGGCAGCAGUGGGGAAUAUUGGACAAUGGGCGCAAGCCUGAUCCAGCCAUACCGCGUGGGUGAAGAAGGCCUUCGGGUUUUAAAGCCCUUUUGUUGGGAAAGAAAAGCAGCAGGUUAAUACCCCGCUGUUCUGACGGUACCCAAAGAAUAAGCACCGGCUAACUUCGUG
rnacentral:rRNA from 1 species